rnacentral:lncRNA from 1 species
CUUGACUUUGAAUUUCCCUAAGUGGAAGAGCCAGGACGCGCUGCUGGGUUAGUGGAUUGCCGUGCGCUAUAUUUAGAAAGCAGCUGGAAGGGAAAAUGUCCUCAGGAAUCCGGACUGUUUUGUUGUAAAUGUCCCUCCAGUCCCAGCACUGUAAAGGCAAACGAUCCUUCUUCCGACGUGCCUGCCCUUCGCGCUGGAUGUCACGCCUGGCGUUAGCACAGACGAAGGCCUGGCUCUUCCUUGGGCUGCCUGGGGACUCCUGAGGGAUCUAGCACCUGAGUUCCAGGUCAGCCUGCUUGGUGACUGUAGCAAGGAAGAGCCCCAGCACCUCAGGCCAAUGGGACAUGCCAUUGAAGAACGGUGCUCAAAGGGCCUCACCCUGCCUUACUGUGAAUCAUGGGCCAACACAUCUUUCUAACCAAGCCGGCACCCAACCGGAGAAGGACGAGGUACCUUCUUGGGAAGUUCUGCUCCCUGUCGAGCAGUCACAGCAUGAGGGUGCCUGGACAUGGGUGGCUGGGGCGCUGUGGGUUCAGGGUGUUGGUAGAAGAUGAGCACUUUGCAUCUGUUGAACGCCUAAGGCUUAAAAGAUUUUAUUUUCCUGGUAAAUGGUUGCUGCUCUCUGUCCCAGGUGAAUGCUGUCGGUGGGCACAGGACAGGAAGAUGAAGCCAACAAAGAAACAGCCCCCCAGCUCCUUGCACCGGCCUGAGGCUUCUAAUGUGAGGAAAAACACGCGGUGACAAGUGUGGAAAAGAGCAAGCACUAAAUUACUGUCAGAAAAAUAAACGGCGGAGCGCGGUGCUGCGUGGUGAUUUA